GGCGAACGCUGGCGGCGUGCUUAACACAUGCAAGUCGAACGGAAAGGCCCUGCUUUUGUGGGGUGCUCGAGUGGCGAACGGAUGAGUAACACGUGAGUAACCUGCCCUUGACUUUGGGAUAACUUCAGGAAACUGGGGCUAAUACCGGAUAGGAGCUCCUGCUGCAUGGUGGGGGUUGGAAAGUUUCGGCGGUUGGGGAUGGACUCGCGGCUUAUCAGCUUGUUGGUGGGGGAGUGGCUUACCAAGGCUUUGACGGGUAGCCGGCCUGAGAGGGUGACCGGCCACAUUGGGACUGAGAUACGGCCCAGACUCCUACGGGAGGCAGCAGUGGGGAAUAUUGCACAAUGGGCGGAAGCCUGAUGCAGCAACGCCGCGUGCGGGAUGACGGCCUUCGGGUUGUAAACCGCUUUCGCCUGUGACGAAGCGUGAGUGACGGUAAUGGGUAAAGAAGCACCGGCUAACUACGUG
rnacentral:rRNA from 1 species